rnacentral:rRNA from 1 species
UACAGAGGGGGCAAGCGUUGUUCGGAAUUACUGGGCGUAAAGGGCGCGUAGGCGGCCUUCUAAGUCGAACGUGAAAUCCCCGGGCUCAACCCGGGAACUGCGUCCGAUACUGGGAGGCUUGAAUCCGGGAGAGGGAUGCGGAAUUCCAGGUGUAGCGGUGAAAUGCGUAGAUAUCUGGAGGAAUACCGGUGGCGAAGGCGGCAUCCUGGACCGGCAUUGACGCUGAGGCGCGAAAGCCAGGGGAGCAAACGGG